rnacentral:rRNA from 1 species
CUAAGGCUGAUGGCGACCGGCGCACGGGUGAGUAACACGUAUCCAACCUGCCGUCUACUCUUGGCCAGCCUUCUGAAAGGAAGAUUAAUCCAGGAUGGCAUCAUGAGUUCACAUGUCCGCAUGAUUAAAGGUAUUUUCCGGUAGACGAUGGGGAUGCGUUCCAUUAGAUAGUAGGCGGGGUAACGGCCCACCUAGUCAACGAUGGAUAGGGGUUCUGAGAGGAAGGUCCCCCACAUUGGAACUGAGACACGGUCCAAACUCCUACGGGAGGCAGCAGUGAGGAAUAUUGGUCAAUGGGCGAUGGCCUGAACCAGCCAAGUAGCGUGAAGGAUGACUGCCCUAUGGGUUGUAAACUUCUUUUAUAAAGGAAUAAAGUCGGGUAUGCAUACCCGUUUGCAUGUACUUUAUGAAUAAGGAUCGGCUAACUCCGUGCCAGCAGCCGCGGUAAUACGGAGGAUCCGAGCGUUAUCCAGAUUUAUUGGGUUUAAAGGGAGCGUAGAUGGAUGUUUAAGUCAGUUGUGAAAGUUUGCGGCUCAACCGUAAAAUUGCAGUUGAUACUGGAUGUCUUGAGUGCAGUUGAGGCAGGCGGAAUUCGUGGUGUAGCGGUGAAAUGCUUAGAUAUCACGAAGAACUCCGAUUGCGAAGGCAGCCUGCUGAGCUGCAACUGACAUUGAGGCUCGAAAGUGUGGGUAUC